rnacentral:miRNA from 1 species
GGUCAGCUGACACAUCCCUGCCAAUCUCCGGCAGACCCUCCCUCCCAGACCCUCCCACCUCCUGGACAGCAUCCAUGUUGAAGCUGCCUUCAACAUGGACGCUGUCCAGGAAGUAGGAGGGUCUGGGAGGGAGGGUCUGCCGGAGAUUGGCAGGGAUGUGUCAGUUG